rnacentral:misc_RNA from 1 species
CCGAGUUAACAACUCCCAAACCCUUUGUGAACAUACCUAUCGUUGCUUCGGCGGUUCACGCCCCGGCUCUUGAGCCCGGAACCAGGCGCCCGCCGAAGGACCCCAAACUCUUGUUUUUACCAGCAGUAUUAUCUGAGUGACAAAACAAAAUAAAUCA